UGCGCAGGCGGACUUGUAAGUCAGUGGUGAAAUCCCGAGGCUCAACUUCGGAACUGCCAUUGAUACUGCGGGUCUUGAGUUUGGUUGAAGUGGGCGGAAUGUAGCAUGUAGCGGUGAAAUGCAUAGAUAUGCUACAGAACACCGAUCGCGAAGGCAGCUCACUAAACCAAAACUGACGCUCAGGCACGAAAGCGUGGGUAGCGAACAGGAUUAGAUACCCUGGUAGUCC
rnacentral:rRNA from 1 species